GCCUCAUUAGCUGAGGGCAGAGCACUGAUCUUGUAAACCAGGGGUCGAGGGUUCAAAUCCCUCAUGAGGCU
rnacentral:tRNA from 1 species